rnacentral:lncRNA from 1 species
GUCCUGUUUUAGCUGAUGAAGGAACUUUAUCUCCUGUACCUUGUCUGCUGAGGCCACCCUGUGUGUGUGAACGUGCUCUGGGUGGGGCUGAGCGGAGUGUGGAGGGAUCAGCUGGCCCUGACCAGACUCUGGGAAGGGAAAUUGGGUUGUGCUGCUGUGCAGAGGCUGCUGAGCCCUGCUCUGGCUCCCCGGUGCUGUGUGCCUGACCUGCAGAGCUUAUUUCCACGGCUGGCACUCAGCUCCACGUGGCUGAGGCCAUCUCUGGGAUAUCCUUGGAGCAUCUUCUUGGGCAAACAGGCUUUGCUUCUUCACCAGCUCGGAGCUAUUUGGGCUUUCUGAUGCUAUCUCUGAAAGCAGCAGCAGCAGCGUUUGAGAGCAGAAAUGAGCAGCCCUGGCAGGACUACAAAGGGCUCCGGAGGAGCAGGUACGCCGGGGAUGAGGUGAUAAGGAAAUCAAGCUUCUGCUCCAUGCCUUAUGGGGACCCAGGAAAGUGGUGCUGAUCCUGCAGUUCCUCCCCAUUAGAGACAGCCCAAAUAGCCAAAUAUUGGCUCAAAAUGCUGUGAUUUGGCCACACGUUGGCAGCUCGCUCUGGAGCUCAUCCUUGUGCUGAAAUCCAGAG